ACUCCUACGGGAGGCAGCAGGUAAGAAUCUUCGGCAAGUGGAGGAAAGUCUGAGGGAGGGACGCGGCGUGAAGGAUGAAAGCGUGAGUGGUGUGUAAAGAUUGUUUGCAGGGGGAGAAUAAGGGUGGCAGGGAAU
rnacentral:rRNA from 1 species